AUGUUUUGGUUUGUCUGAGAAAAAAAUAAAAAAAAAAUAAUUGGUUGAUUGCACAAAUCGAAAGUAUUGAAAUGUGUUGAAAGUAAUGUUUCAAAAAUAAUCCCGGUUAUUUUGGUACGUAAUACAGAUUCUGAUGGGUGCGCUAAAGCUAUUAUCAAAAGAAAAUUAUGUGAAACUAGCCCGAACGGUGGUCGUACUGCUGCCUUUAAUGUGCCCCCAAUGGGAGAAUCACUACGGAAUUCGAUUUCAAAUAGGGUAAGGUUGAUCGCGACCGGAUCAGCCGAAAUCAUCGGAAAUAACAAUCAGGACAGGUCCCAUCUGGAGGAUUUUCCCAUAUAGAGCUGAGUUUUGCUGCGGAGAAAAUUGCAAUCACCCGCCUCAGAAUGUUUAGCCGUCGAAUCCGAUGCGAUCAUGUUGCAUUUAGAAGGGGAAGCUGUGUUCGGUUAAUCAUACUUCUAUUUAAGCAGCAAUAAAUCGAUCAACCCAUUGAAAA
rnacentral:lncRNA from 1 species